GGAUCAUUAACGCAGAACUACCAAUUAUCCAGUUUUGGACUUUGGUCAGUCUCAGUCUCAGUGUCAGUCCAUGUCCUUGGUCCCGCGGCAGGCGUGCAUGAAGCGCUGUCGCGGGGCUGUGAACGCUAUGUCUUUCGGGGUACCUAUCACUGUCCUCGAUGCGACCCACGGUGACGGCUUAGAGCCAGUGUGCUCGCCGGGUCGCGACGGUUCAAAGAGUGGCCGGCCGCAUGGCCGGCGACCGCCCCACUCACGUCCUCGUCCACGUCGUCCCACAAACUGGCAGAAGUCCAACGGGAGGUUACGUCCGGGGUACCUAUGCCCUGCACGCGUGCUUGCUUGCUUGCUUGCUUGCUUGCUUGCUUGCUUGCAUGCAGGGUGGUAGCUCCAGCUCGUCACUUUGGCCGCGAGGUUCAAAGAGUCGGCCGUGCCAUUCACGCUCUCGAUGGCACCGGUCGCCGCCCCGGGCCUCCCACAAUUUUUCCUUUACGAAACACAAAAUUAAUUUCAAAAAAAACGCCGAUUAGGUCAGGCCAAAGGCCACGACCAGUCGGCGGGUGCAAGUCAAAUAAAAAAAGUCUAUAACUUUGAGCGGUGGAUCACUCGGCUCGUGCGUCGAUGA
rnacentral:misc_RNA from 1 species